CACCCUCUGGCGAAUGCGGUUUUUUGGGGUGAAUAUAACUUCCCAGUCAAUACUCAAUUAGCCAACUUUUGUAUUUUGGCAAAAUCAUUUACACAGUUGCACAAAAAUUAGUCAAAAUUAAGGCAAUUAAUGCAUAUAUCCUUUUCUUUUCUUUUUUUGUACUAUAUCAUUUUUUGUUUAUUUGUUUUCUUGUAAAUUAUACUAUAUCUCAUGCAAUCUCAGUCCAUUCUUUUUCUGUUGGUCUAGUGGUCAGUGGACCAAUUGUUGAUUAUGAAAAUUUUGCCUCACUCUUGGUUAAUAGUAAAAGAUUAGGGAGGUUGCGGAGAAAACCACUGCGGCUUCCUCGCUUAUCGCCUAAUAAAAUGAGUAUUGAGUAGUAACAACAAGUCUAUUCAUGAACCAAAGCCAAUUGUCUAAUUAGGAUCUGGUGGGAAUUUUCGGGUGUUAGGUCCUAUUACCACUGUAUCCAUUAUUACCGUUGUGGAGGUUUGAAUAUUCGUAAAAACGCUACGAUCGUCUUCGUUUCUGUUAGGAUUAAUCUUCGCGUAGCGUUUACACGAUCUGUUGUUUUCUUUUCAAAUUGGAAAUGCUAGAUUAUCGGACGUUAAUAACUGAUUGUUCUUGACAUUACUUCCAGAUUUUAUGAGAUCUGGGCCCAUUUUUCCUUUUUUAAUUGCUAUGUACGGCAAUUCCAACUGCCAUUUCCUUUAACAGUUGCUGAUUACAGGACAACUUAGAAUCCACGAAGGUUUUAGAACAUAUGAAGAGUCAGGCUAAAAUUGAAGGAUUGGUCCUUAUUUACACAAGGUGUGCUUCCUUCCUGGCAAUCGUGCACUUGGUGCCAGAAAGGAAAUUGCUAAGGGAAAGACUAUGAGAUUGCUCACUUUUGAAGAUAUAGAAAACCUAAAGAUUGCAGAAGGAAUUGGCAAAAACAUGCUUUGAGAUAUAAUCCGAAACUUCCACACGUCUUGCUCCAGAAAUAGCUUAAUCCAGUGAAGGCUAGUUGAACUCUUAAAUUAUCUAGUACUUUCAUAUGCCUGGUUUCAUAAAUAUUUCUGUCUAAUUCUAAGCAGGAAACCUGUCAAGAAGGUCAUGAUGGUAAAAACAAAGUUCCAAUUAUUUACGUGGCAUAUUUACCAAAUCUACCGACGGUCACAAUCUCUUACAUCCUGAAAUGUCGAACCAUUGUUCGUCAUAUAUCGUAUCAUAGAAAAUCUAAAGUAUGAUUCACAUGUUUUAUAUUAUUGGACUAGGUUUUCUUAUAUGUAUUGCCGCUCAUUCAAUUAUAUGAUGAAUGAUUUAUAUUUUUAGGUGAAACACUAUAAUUGCUAAUUAGAGAGAUCAAUAUAAUAUCACUGAAUGAUUGUAUUUAUUUUUAUUACUGAAGCUCGUCCAUUAUCCCUUAAAAGCACUAAGAGGAAAUCACACACUGUCUGCAGCAUUAACCUAUGCGAAAUUUCCAGCUUGUUUUUUCUCUAAAUGGAACCAUGUAAUGAACAUUGUUGAUUUUUGUAUCUUAAAGUAGUGGUCCUAGCCAUUAUGUUGGAAUAUACCAUUGAUAUCUAGAGGGCUAAGUCGAUACUGUAGCCCAUAACUGUGUCCCGCCUUCUAUGAGCAAAAUAAGAUUUCCUAAUCAAGUAAAUCUGUAUUGGAAACAGUUCAUACAUAUGGCGUGAUACAUCAUUGCAGUGUUGCAUGUUUUUUUGCUUCUGCUGAGUCUAGCAACAAAUGUUGAUGUUGUCUGUUGGGAGUGCUUUGGAGCAACUUUGUAGUUUGGCUUGUUCAAUUUCCACUUUCCUGUAUGCGUGUGUAUCCUCAGAGCUUGAUUAGAAAUCUAGAUUAAAUACAGUGGCAAACUCAUUUUAAACUACUACUGUAUUAUUUUGUUACUUGAAGUGCAGAUCUCUAGGCAUUUCUAUGUAGGCUUUAAUUAUCAUUGUAUGUAUCAUACGCUUUCAUAUGUUUCUGGUAUGAGAAAUAAAUGGUCUUCAUCUCGGAUGAGAUUUAAGUCAUCUAUCUCUGCAUUCUCUGAAUUUACAACUUUUGUAAUAUUAUAGCCUCCAAACUUUUGACCUGCAAUUUGACAAGAUGCAAAAAAUUAAAUUAAUGAAAAUCAAAGUGAGAAUAGUUCAUUCAAAUAGCAAUAAUCGCCUCCUGAAAAGAAAAAUAGCAAUAACCACCUAGUUUAGAAAUCUGAGUUUCUUUUGAUUUCAGUUUAAAUUUGAAUUUUUCCAAUAUCAAAUCAAACUGAUGGGUUACUGUCUGCUGUUUCAGGUUUCUGUUAUUUAUGGUUGAACAAAGCGUACCUGCAGUAUGAAAUAGCUCUUCCAUGGAAUCAGAUUAAAAAAUGGUAUGGAAAGGGAAGAUAGAUGUGUAUAAAGGGCAUACAAAAUCUCUAGUGCAGCUGGUCCAGUGAACAACGAGAUUUGUCAUGUUCCCAAUGAGGGGGCACAUGGUAGGAAGGCUAAAAACUUGAGAUCAUAGUAGUUGGGUGACCCCUAAUUGAAGGGGCACUUGUGUUUGGUUACUAGCGGUCGUGGCCUCACUGAGCUCUUUGCAGAGCCACUGUCUACAUGCUUUUAAGCUUUCAUAUAUGGAGUGGGUCAUAAUACACAUGUAUUAACAUUUGCAAGAAGCUGUCCAGUGUGCUAUUCCAAUAUGUUUUCCUUCUCACUCUCUCGUAGCUGGAGUCUACUCAAACAUGUACUACAUCUUCAGAUAUUUGUUUCUCAACCCCAUGGUGUUUCUCAUGUCAAUGAAGUGAAACCAAGGGAGAUUGGCAUUAUGGAGAACGUGUGAAGUGACAGAAUCUAGGACCAAUGUAAUGUCCCAUUAGUUCAUUACAGUCAUAUGCAUCCAAAAUGAUGAGCAGGCCUGACUUUGCUAGGCCAUAUACAAUACGGCUUCUCACCAUCUCUGCGAUUAGUUUAUAUUUCUAUGGAUGAAAAUAAAAUUUGAAUUAUGUUAUGACUUAUGAGUGUACAAAUUAUAUUUCUUCAUUACAUUACUUUUGUCCUAUACAGGU